AAUGGGUCAGCGACUUAUAUUCUGUAGCAAGGUUAACCGUAUAGGGGAGCCGCAGGGAAACCGAGUCUUAACUGGGCGUUAAGUUGCAGGGUAUAGACCCGAAACCCGGUGAUCUAGCCAUGGGCAGGUUGAAGGUUGGGUAACACUAACUGGAGGACCGAACCGACUAAUGUUGAAAAAUUAGCGGAUGACUUGUGGCUGGGGGUGAAAGGCCAAUCAAACCGGGAGAUAGCUGGUUCUCCCCGAAAGCUAUUUAGGUAGCGCCUCGUGAACUCAUCUUCGGGGGUAGAGCACUGUUUCGGCUAGGGGGUCAUCCCGACUUACCAACCCGAUGCAAACUACGAAUACCGAAGAAUGUUAUCACGGGAGACACACGGCGGGUGCUAACGUCCGUCGUGAAGAGGGAAACAACCCAGACCGCCAGCUAAGGUCCCAAAGUCAUGGUUAAGUGGGAAACGAUGUGGGAAGGCACAGACAGCCAGGAUGUUGGCUUAGAAGCAGCCAUCAUUUAAAGAAAGCGUAAUAGCUCACUGGUCGAGUCGGCCUGCGCGGAAGAUGUAACGGGGCUAAACCAUGCACCGAAGCUGCGGCAGCGACACUAUGUGUUGUUGGGUAGGGGAGCGUUCUGUAAGCCUGCGAAGGUGUGCUGUGAGGCAUGCUGGAGGUAUCAGAAGUGCGAAUGCUGACAUAAGUAACGAUAAAGCGGGUGAAAAGCCCGCUCGCCGGAAGACCAAGGGUUCCUGUCCAACGUUAAUCGGGGCAGGGUGAGUCGACCCCUAAGGCGAGGCCGAAAGGCGUAGUCGAUGGGAAACAGGUUAAUAUUCCUGUACUUGGUGUUACUGCGAAGGGGGGACGGAGAAGGCUAUGUUAGCCGGGCGACGGUUGUCCCGGUUUAAGCAUGUAGGCUGGUUAUCCAGGCAAAUCCGGAUAAUCAAGGCUGAGGUGUGAUGACGAGGCACUACGGUGCUGAAGUAACAAAUGCCCUGCUUCCAGGAAAAGCCUCUAAGCAUCAGGUAACAUCAAAUCGUACCCCAAACCGACACAGGUGGUCAGGUAGAGAAUACCAAGGCGCUUGAGAGAACUCGGGUGAAGGAACUAGGCAAAAUGGUGCCGUAACUUCGGGAGAAGGCACGCUGGUGUGUAGGUGAAGUCCCUGCGGAUGGAGCUGAGACCAGUCGAAGAUACCAGCUGGCUGCAACUGUUUAUUAAAAACACAGCACUGUGCAAACACGAAAGUGGACGUAUACGGUGUGACGCCUGCCCGGUGCCGGAAGGUUAA
rnacentral:rRNA from 1 species